GCAGACACAUUCCAGCCAAUAAGCAGCAGACCCUCCCUCCAGACCCUCCCACCUCCUGGACAGCAUCCAUUUUGAAGCUGCAUUCUUAGUGAGCUGUCCAGGAGGUGGGAGGGUCUGGGAGGGAGGGUCUGCUGCUGAUUGGCUGGAAUGUGUCUG